AUCCUUCUGACAGACUAUGUAAUGUAGUCUUCUCUUCGGACAGAAGGUGACAGGUGGUGCAUGGUUGUCGUCAGCUCGUGUCGUGAGAUGUUGGGUUAAGUCCCGCAACGAGCGCAACCCUUGAUCCUUUAGUAGCCAGCAGUUCGGCGUGGGCACUCUAAGAAGAGGACUUGCCAGGGGAUAACCUGGAGGAAGGUGGGGAUGACGUCAAAUCAUCAUGCCCCUUAUGAUUUGGGCUACACACGUGCUACAAUGGCGUAAACAAAGAGAAGCGAACCUGUGAAGUGGAGCAAAUCUCAAAAAUAACGUCUCAGUUCGGAUUGUAGUCUGCAACUCGACUACAUGAAGCUGGAAUCGCUAGUAAUCGCGAAUCAAAAUGUCGCGG
rnacentral:rRNA from 1 species